CUGCAGUCAGUUAAGCUGCAACCUCCUCUCCCCAUUUGGGCCAACUGUGCAGUUGCUGCAGAUAGUAGCCUUGUUGGCAGUGUAUGCAGCCUGUUGUUCAUAUGGGUUGCCCUGAGGAACCUUACAGAGUGAC
rnacentral:snoRNA from 1 species